GACGAACGCUGGCGGCGUGCCUAAUACAUGCAAGUCGAGCGAACAGACGAGGAGCUUGCUCCUUUUACGUUAGCGGCGAACGGGUGAGUAACACGUAGGUAACCUACCUGGAAGAGUGGGAUAACUUCUGGAAACCGGAGCUAAUACCGGAUAAUAUUUAUAAUCGCAUGAUUCGAUAUUGAAAGAUGGCUUUGCUUUCACAUCAAGAUGGACUUCCGUCGUAUUAGCUAGUUGGUAAGUUAAGGGCUUACAAAGGCAACGAUCCGUAGCGGACCUGAGAGGGGGAUCGGCCAAAUUGGAACUGAGAAAGGGCCAAGACUCCUAGGGGGGGAGGAGGAAGGGAUCCUUCGGAAAUGGGCGAAAGCUUGCCGGAGCACGGCGGGGGGAGGGAGGAAGGUCUCCGGAUCGUAAACUCUGGUGAUAAGGGAGGAAGAAAGUGGUAAGUAACUGUGCACGUCUUGACGGUACCUAAUCAGAAAGCCACGGCUAACUACGUG
rnacentral:rRNA from 1 species